CCUGAAAUGGCAAAGAGCGUCGCUGAGAAACAGCUGCACCUUCUCACCCUCCAGUGCUCGUUCUGUGAUCGGCUGCUGAAGCCAAACACCCUGAAGGGAUUCGGCUUUCUGAUAUCCUAACAGCAAAAGCAGACCCGGUGGAGCUGCCCCUCUGUGUCCGUGAGUUAUGUUUAAGCUCUUUCAAAGAAGUUCUCCAGCUUUGAGGAAACCAUUUAUAACAAUGGAGAAAAUCCCAGGACGGGUUGUGUUGGGGGGGGACCCCGAGAUUCCCCAGCUCCAACCAUCCCCACCACUGGGUGUUACCUUGGGCAAUCUCAAGCUGCCGUUUCGCAUCUCCUAAUGCAGAGAAGAGAUCCAGCUUGAUCCGCGUCUCUGCGCUCAGGCUGUUCUCUAAGUGCUGUGUUUUAUCCUGCAUGGCUGACAGUGCUGACAUCAACACCUCCGUAUCCUUCUCAUUUUCCUUGUACUUCCGCAGUUCCUGUAGGAGCAAUGAGGAUAAAUGUUAUUCCUGUAGGUGUCACGGAUGAGAUGUACUGAGAAGUCUUUCCCUUCCCUACAGCACGCCACUGGGCCUGGUAUUAAUGCAGUCAAAUUAAAAUGAUGGUUAAUUGAGGACGCUGUAAUAUCACCUGCAGUAAUUAUACAUGACCAUCACACAAGUGAUUAAAGCCAUAUUGUACAAAGAGCA